AGAUUGAACGCUGGCGGCAGGCCUAACACAUGCAAGUCGAGCGGUAGAGAGGUGCUUGCACCUCUUGAGAGCGGCGGACGGGUGAGUAAUGCCUAGGAAUCUGCCUAGUGGUGGGGGAUAACGUUCGGAAACGGACGCUAAUACCGCAUACGUCCUACGGGAGAAAGCGGGGGACCUUCGGGCCUCGCGCCAUUAGAUGAGCCUAGGUCGGAUUAGCUAGUUGGUGAGGUAAUGGCUCACCAAGGCGA
rnacentral:rRNA from 1 species